AACGCUGGCGGUGCGCCUUAUGCAUGCAAGUUGAGCGAAGCUUUUCAGUAGUUUACUACAGAAAAUGACUGAGCGGCGAACGGGUGAGUAACGCGUGAGCAAUCUACCUUAGUUACUGGGAUAGCCCGAGGAAACUCGGAUUAAUACCGGAUAUUCUUAUUUUUUCACAUGAAGUUUUAAGGAAAGGUCAGCCGAACUAAGAUGAGCUCGCGUUCUAUCAGCUAGUUGGUGGGGUAAAAGCCUACCAAGGCUACGACGGAUAGCUGGUCUGAGAGGACGAUCAGCCACACUGGGACUGAGACACGGCCCAGACUCCUACGGGAGGCUGCAGCAGGGAAUAUUGCGCAAUGAGCGAAAGCUUGACGCAGCGACACCGCGUGUGGGAUGACGGUUCUAGGAUUGUAAACCACUUUCAGGAGGGAAGAAAA
rnacentral:rRNA from 1 species